UACGUAGGGGGCAAGCGUUGUCCGGAUUUAUUGGGCGUAAAGAGCGUGUAGGCGGCCAGAUAGGUCAGCUGUGAAAACUCGAGGCUCAACCUCGAGACGUCGGUUGAAACCAUCUGGCUAGAGUCCGGAAGAGGAGAGUGGAAUUCCCGGUGUAGCGGUGAAAUGCGCAGAUAUCGGGAAGAACACCCGUGGCGAAGGCGGCCCUCUGGGACGGUACUGACGCUGAGACGCGAAAGCGUGGGGAGCGAACAGG
rnacentral:rRNA from 1 species